rnacentral:rRNA from 1 species
ACGGGAGGCAGCAGUGAGGAAUAUUGGUCAAUGGGCGGAAGCCUGAACCAGCCAAGUCGCGUGAAGGAUGAAGGUUCUAUGGAUUGUAAACUUCUUUUGUUCGAGGGUAAAGUGAGUCACGUGUGGCUUAUUGCAAGUAUCGAACGAAUAAGCAUCGGCUAACUCCGUGCCAGCAGCCGCGGUAAUACGGAGGAUGCGAGCGUUAUCCGGAUUUAUUGGGUUUAAAGGGUGCGUAGGCGGGAUGUUAAGUCAGCGGUCAAAUUGUGUAGCUCAACUAUACCGAGCCGUUGAAACUGGCGUUCUUGAGUGUAAACGAGGUAGGCGGAAUGUGACGUGUAGCGGUGAAAUGCUUAGAUAUGGCGAAGAACUCCGAUUGCGUAGGCAGCUGACCAGGCCGUAAAUGACGCUCAUGCACGAAAGUGCGGGGAUCGAACAGGAUUAGAUACCCUGGUA